GCAGUCGGACGGGAUCCAGUCGGAGAGCUUGCUCGAAGACGGUGAGAGUGGCGCACGGGUGCGUAACGCGUGAGCAACCUACCUCUAUCAGGGGGAUAGCCUCUCGAAAGAGAGAUUAACACCGCAUAACAUCUGUGACCGGCAUCGGUUGGAUAUUAAAUAUUUAUAGGAUAGAGAUGGGCUCGCGUGACAUUAGCUAGUUGGUAGGGUAACGGCUUACCAAGGCGACGAUGUCUAGGGGCUCUGAGAGGAGAAUCCCCCACACUGGUACUGAGACACGGACCAGACUCCUACGGGAGGCAGCAGUAAGGAAUAUUGGUCAAUGGGCGGAAGCCUGAACCAGCCAUGCCGCGUGCAGGAUGACUGCCCUAUGGGUUGUAAACUGCUUUUGUCCAGGAAUAAACCUAGAUACGUGUAUCUAGCUGAAUGUACUGGAAGAAUAAGGAUCGGCUAACUCCGUGCCAGCAGCCGCGGUAAUACGGAGGAUCCGAGCGUUAUCCGGAUUUAUUGGGUUUAAAGGGUGCGUAGGCGGCCUAUUAAGUCAGGGGUGAAAUACGGUGGCUCAACCAUCGCAGUGCCUUUGAUACUGAUGGGCUUGAAUCCAUUUGAAGUGGGCGGAAUAAGACAAGUAGCGGUGAAAUGCAUAGAUAUGUCUUAGAACUCCGAUUGCGAAGGCAGCUCACUAAGCUGGUAUUGACGCUGAUGCACGAAAGCGUGGGGAUCGAACAGGAUUAGAUACCCUGGUAGUCCACGCCCUAAACGAUGAUAACUCGAUGUUGGCGAUAGACAGCCAGCGUCCAAGCGAAAGCGUUAAGUUAUCCACCUGGGGAGUACGCCCGCAAGGGUGAAACUCAAAGGAAUUGACGGGGGCCCGCACAAGCGGAGGAGCAUGUGGUUUAAUUCGAUGAUACGCGAGGAACCUUACCCGGGCUUGAAAGUUAGUGAAGAGUGCAGAGACGCACUCGUCCUUCGGGACACGAAACUAGGUGCUGCAUGGCUGUCGUCAGCUCGUGCCGUGAGGUGUUGGGUUAAGUCCCGCAACGAGCGCAACCCCUAUGUUUAGUUGCCAGCAUGUAAUGGUGGGGACUCUAAACAGACUGCCUGUGCAAACAGAGAGGAAGGUGGGGACGACGUCAAGUCAUCAUGGCCCUUACGUCCGGGGCUACACACGUGCUACAAUGGAUGGUACAGCGGGCAGCUACAUAGCAAUAUGAUGCUAAUCUCUAAAAGCCAUUCACAGUUCGGAUUGGGGUCUGCAACUCGACCCCAUGAAGUUGGAUUCGCUAGUAAUCGCGUAUCAGCAAUGACGCGGUGAAUACGUUCCCGGGCCUUGUACACACCGCCCGUCAAGCCAUGAAAGUUGGGGGUACCUAAAGCA
rnacentral:rRNA from 1 species